AUUGAACGCUGGCGGCAGGCCUAACACAUGCAAGUCGAACGGUAGCACAGAGAGCUUGCUCUCGGGUGACGAGUGGCGGACGGGUGAGUAAUGUCUGGGAAACUGCCUGAUGGAGGGGGAUAACUACUGGAAACGGUAGCUAAUACCGCAUAAUGUAGCAAGACCAAAGAGGGGGACAUUCGGGCCUCUUGCCAUCAGAUGGGCCCAGAUGGGAUUAGCUAGUAGGUGGGGUAACGGCUCACCUAGGCGACGAUCCCUAGCUGGUCUGAGAGGAUGACCAGCCACACUGGAACUGAGACACGGUCCAGACUCCUACGGGAGGCAGCAGUGGGGAAUAUUGCACAAUGGGCGCAAGCCUGAUGCAGCCAUGCCGCGUGUAUGAAGAAGGCCUUCGGGUUGUAAAGUACUUUCAGCGGGGAGGAAGGCGAUAAGGUUAAUAACCUUGUCGAUUGACGUUACCCGCAGAAGAAGCACCGGCUAACUCCGUGCCAGCAGCCGCCGUAAGAC
rnacentral:rRNA from 1 species